GAAAACCGAGGAUGGUUUCCUGUGGAGUUGUCAGAAGCGCCUCUUUUCCUGCGAUUUCUGAGGAUUUAUGGACGUUUAUUCGCCGUGGAGAAGACGGAGACAGUGAUUUGUCUUCAGAGUUAAGAAACUCUCCCCAAAGGGCCUUUUCUCCAGGGACCACUGCUACAUUUCACUACUGCUAAGAGGCAGUGUGGGGAGAGUCACAGGCAGAGCGAGAGAGCCGGGCAUCCACAGUGAUUGGUAUGUGGGGAAGGACCAUCCUCUGAAGGUGAACAAGCUGUGGUGUGAUAGCUUUGCUUUUUAAUCAAGGUGUGUACAGCAUCGUAUCGGCAGGAGAUUUAUUGCUGAAUUGCUUUCAGUCAGGGUUACCUGAAGGAAAGCUGCAUAUUCUCAGAGCCAACGGGCAACAGAGAGCCAAAGUGAAAGUGAUUUGUGAUGUUUAGCAAACGAACUGGGGUCUGAUUUAUUACUAAUUACAAAACAGUUUGCUAUUAGUCAGACUCAGCAUCUAAGCACCUAAAUGCUGCACAUAAAACAAAUAGGACUGCACUUAUAAUGAAGUUUAUAUUAUUUUUGUUGAUCAAGUAUUGCUUCUGGGCCUGUCUCUAAACAAAGAAGCAACAGUGCAAAAUUCACAGCAUAGCUUCUGUCAUACUUAGUUAUUGAAUCCACAAUCUUUGCCAAGUGAAAGCAGUUAAAGCAGUUAAAGCGCUUUCAGCUGCAACUGUAAUAUAAGUCAGUAGUUUAUCUCCCUAUCUCUCCUCAUUAGUGAAAUCUCCAGGCUACCACACGGCAGAUUAUUGUUUUGUUUUGGAAGAUUGGGAUCUCUGAAGCACUUUGCGAGAGCCAUUAAAGUACCAUUUCCUUUACCAGAAACGCUCUUCAAGUCAUUUUGAAUGAGUGUUUUUUCUGGUUGCUGGUUGUUUUUAUUUUUUUACAGUCCGAGAAGGAAGUGUUUGUUUUGGUGUCGAGGAAGGCAGUGAAUUUUCCCUGUGUGAAAUAAUCCUAGUAUUUCUUCAAUGUAAGUAACCUUAACUGUUAAAACAACUUUAAGCACUUAUUAAAGUCAUACAUCUGGUUGUCGAAAAGUGGAUCCAAACAUUUGAUUUGCUGAAAACUUAAGAUUAAGGCAAUGAAAGUGCUGAUACCUAAAUGCAACAUGACUAAUGUGCCAAUAUCCCAACGAUGUGAUGUGUUUUUUACAAAGAGAUGGUAAAACACAGUUAUACCAACACUAAGUGAUGAGAGAGAGCAAAAACAAAGAGAUUUAAACAAAUUUUGAGCAAAAUGAAGCAUUUUUGCUAUGGUUGUAUAAUUACUACCAUAACUGGGAAUAUACAGCAUGGCAUUUCAUUGUUGCCAUUUUGUGGUUCAACAUGUUGCCACUAGAGCUCACUCUUAAGCAGCACAAUACAGUUGACGAGUGUAAUCUUUUUCUUUCCCAUCUCUAAAAGAGUUUCCUUUACAUAUCUGCUUACACAUGGAGAAGCAGUUAUAAUUUUGUCAGUGUGAUUCCUUCUUACUAUAUUUGGAUCCAUUUUAUAGCACACCUGCAACUUAAUCUGCCAAUAAAGUUUAAUGCUUUCUAACGUUUUACUGGCCAUGGUAGGCUCCCUUAGUGGGACCCAUUGGAUGUUCUUUCUUGAAAGGUUGAA